GAUUACACUCUGAAUUCCCUUGUAGUGAGCUUACUUCUCUCCACCCACUUCUUACCAAGAACUCCUUAACUUGAGGGUGAACAACUUAAAGCUUGAUCCUACAGUUACCUGAAAAGUGAUUUGAGUAUUCAUUGAACUGAAAGAACAAAUCGCCUACUUCAGGCGGUGGCAAGCGUAUGGAAAUUAUAUUAGAACUUCAGCAAAGUGCACAGCUGCAUAAUAGAGAAGCCGGCACUCAGAUUGACAGGCAAAUAAGCCAGCUUGUGGAAGGGGCCUCUGGGUGGCAGCUCUGGGCUUUUGGGUGUUGGACAACCAUAGGCAAAACUGAAAUGGAACAGGGGCAGAAAAUAGCACACUUUUACUCUACGCAACUGUUGCUUUUUCAUGAUCUUCAGGAAUUUUACUGGGAUAAUUAUCCAAAUAAAUUGCAAGCAUUCUAUCCAAAUGGAGCUCUUUCUGAGAUGAAGAGAAUUCUCAAUGUCAAGAUUUGAACAAGAAGAGAAUGGAAUACACAAUAUGGACAUCCAUAAAAAUUCAUCAGAGAGCAUUUUACUACUGAGCUGCAAAGGGAAAAACUUAAAAUGGAUAUGAAAAGUGAAGAAAGUGAUCAUAGGAGAAAACCAUUUCAGAUGACAAGAGCACCUCAAAGGCAGCAGCCUCAAGGAGCAGCCAUGGCCCCAGACUUGUCGCACGGAUGCAGAAAACUUAAUGGAGGAGGCUGAGGUCAGAAUGGGAAGAGUUUUUAAAAAAUAAAAAGGGGAGCUAAUAUGUGAGGAACUGAUUGCUGUGCAUUAUUUUCCACUGAACAGACCUUCUUUUAACUUCUAAUCUCAAGCACAUAGCAGCUGUUGUUUUCAUAUUAAAGAUCAGUAAGUGUUUGUUGAAUGAAUGUAUAAAUUCUUCCCCAAUCUCUGUUCCAUGUAAUAAGAACUAAGUUAGCAUUCAAUUAUAAAGAGGACUUAGAAAGUCUGCAGACAUUUUUGAUCAAAAAUCCUUUUAACUGUCUUCUUAUGGUUCCCGGUAACACCUAAGCCCAAAAAACUCAGGUCAUUUCUUGCCUGUACUGUUGCAAUAGCCUCAUAAUAACUAGUCUUCUCCUUUAUCAACCACAGUCGUCUCCGCUACACAAAGAAGAGAGGGUGCUAAUCUAAAGUGUAAAUUAUUUUAAAUCAGCACCCUUCUUGUAAUUUCCCAGUGGUUUUUCCUGUCAUAAGAAUAACAUGCAAAAUUCCUUGCUUGCAAAGCCAGGUAUGACCUUGCCCCGUCUACCUUACUGGCAUCGUCUCUCAUGACUCUUCCCCUUUUUCACUCUCCAUCUUGCCUUUUCCCAACCAUGCCUGCUAGUGAGCCUUAGCCCUUGUGUUUUCUCUGCCAGGGAUGCAUGACUGGCUUCUUUACUUUAUUCUGAUCUCUCUGCUCAAAUGUCAUCUUUUUAGAGAUAGCUUUCCUAAACAUCUUUAAAAGUACCCCAUGAACUGUGAAACACCUUUCCUGCUUUUUCUUCAUAGUACUUAUCACUUCCUGAUAUUAUGUUAGACAACAAGCAAAUAAGUAUAUGCUGUUCCCACUAAAAUAUAAGCUCCAUUUGAACAGGAGCCUUGAUUAUUCCUGAGUAUACCCCUAGUGCCCAGAACCUAGUAGGGCUUUAAUAAAUAUUAGAUUCAUUUGUUGAAUGAAAAAAUGAAUGAAUAAUUGAAUAAAGAUAUCCAGGUAGAGUGUCCGGGCAGCCCAACCUAUGUGAAGCCAGUACAAGAAUGUUUCU
rnacentral:lncRNA from 1 species